rnacentral:rRNA from 1 species
CGGGGGAGCAAGCGUUGUUCGGAUUUACUGGGCGUAAAGGGCGCGUAGGCGGCCACCGCAAGUCGACUGUGAAAUCUCCGGGCUUAACUCGGAAAGGUCAGCCGAUACUGCGGGGCUAGAGUGCAGAAGGGGCAACUGGAAUUCUCGGUGUAGCGGUGAAAUGCGUAGAUAUCGAGAGGAACACCUGCGGCGAAGGCGGGUUGCUGGGCUGACACUGACGCUGAAGUGCGAAAGCUAGGGGAGCGAACGGGAUUAGAUACCCCGGUAGUCCUAGCCUUAAACGAUGAAUGCUUGGUGUCUGGGGUUUUAUAGUCCCCGGGUGCCGUCGCUAACGCUUUAAGCAUUCCGCCUGGGGAGUACGGUCGCAAGACUG